GAGAGGCCGGCGCGGGCAGGCGCUUCGCCAACCUGGUCAGGUCCGGAAGGAAGCAGCCACAACGAUAUCCGCCUGGGUCGCUGUCCGGUCUCUCACC
rnacentral:SRP_RNA from 1 species